rnacentral:rRNA from 1 species
GACGGAGGAUGCAAGCGUUAUCCGGAAUGAUUGGGCGUAAAGCGUCCGCAGGUGGCAGUUCAAGUCUGCUGUCAAAGACCGGGGCUUAACUUCGGAAAGGCAGUGGAAACUGAACAGCUAGAGUAUGGUAGGGGCAGAGGGAAUUCCUGGUGUAGCGGUGAAAUGCGCAGAUAUCAGGGAGGAACACCGGUGGCGGAAGGCGGGGUCUCUGGGCAGUAACAUGACGC